GGAAGCUUUCGGCGGACACAAGCCCUCGGGACUUGACACUUGGACACCGGGAAGCUUGCCCCUUGAGACUGGGUCCUUCGUUUGGAACUGCCCUUUUCCUUUCCAAAGUGGAAUUCCUCCUUGCUUUCCCCUUUGACCUGUGCCAAACUCCACUUUUGCUGUUGCCAGGUGGAAUGAUUCAUUCAACCUCGGUAUCGGCAACCAAGACACCCUUCUCUGUCGAAUGAAUCUUCAAAUCAUCAUCUUCAAACCACGACUCCGAUCACGGUUUCCAGUUGACUUUAUCUCAGGUGACAGGGGC
rnacentral:lncRNA from 1 species